UAGGGAAUAUUGCAAAUGGGCGAAAGCCUGAUGUAGCAACGCCGCGUGUGCGAUGAAGGUCUUCGGAUUGUAAAGCACUUUUUGGAGGGAUGAGGAAGGACAGUACCUCCAGAAUAAGCCCCGGCUAACUACGUGCCAGCAGCCGCGGUAAUACGUAGGGGGCAAGCGUUAUCCGGAUUCAUUGGGCGUAAAGAGCGCGUAGGCGGACUGUUAAGUCAGAUGUGAAAACCGGGGGCUCAACCCGCGGCCUGCAUCUGAAACUGGCAGUCUUGAGUCUGGUAGAGGAAAGUGGAAUUCCUGGUGUAGCGGUGAAAUGCGCAGAUAUCAGGAGGAACACCAGUGGCGAAGGCGGCUUUCUGGGCCACGACUGACGCUGAGGCGCGAAAGCUAGGGGAGCGAACAG
rnacentral:rRNA from 1 species